GGUUAAGCGACUAAGCGUACACGGUGGAUGCCCUGGCAGUCAGAGGCGAUGAAGGACGUGCUAAUCUGCGAUAAGCGCCGGUAAGGUGAUAUGAACCGUUAUAACCGGCGAUUUCCGAAUGGGGAAACCCAGUGUGAUUCGUCACACUAUCAUUAACUGAAUCCAUAGGUUAAUGAGGCGAACCGGGGGAACUGAAACAUCUAAGUACCCCGAGGAAAAGAAAUCAACCGAGAUUCCCCCAGUAGCGGCGAGCGAACGGGGAGGAGCCCAGAGCCUGAAUCAGCAUGUGUGUUAGUGGAAGCGUCUGGAAAGGCGCGCGAUACAGGGUGACAGCCCCGUACACAAAAGCGCAUGUGCUGUGAGCUCGAUGAGUAGGGCGGGACACGUGGUAUCCUGUCUGAAUAUGGGGGGACCAUCCUCCAAGGCUAAAUACUCCUGACUGACCGAUAGUGAACCAGUACCGUGAGGGAAAGGCGAAAAGAACCCCGGCGAGGGGAGUGAAAAAGAACCUGAAACCGUGUACGUACAAGCAGUGGGAGCACAGGUUUACCUGUGUGACUGCGUACCUUUUGUAUAAUGGGUCAGCGACUUAUAUUCUGUAGCAAGGUUAACCGAAUAGGGGAGCCGGAGGGAAACCGAGUCUUAAU
rnacentral:rRNA from 2 species